rnacentral:lncRNA from 1 species
AUUUUAUUGUCUUGUUUAGUGGAAGAUGGAAUGAAACCAUAUUAUCUCACAUUCAGGUGAACUUAUGACAUUUUUUCCCCUGAGGAAUCUAGAUUACAAUGGAAAAAUAAUUUGUCAACAGAACAUUAGAAUGUGCUUACGUAAGUAAAAAUUCCAGUGACAAUUCAUUUGCGCACUGUUCAAAAAAGGUGAUCACGAUGGAAAGAUUUUAAAUUUUGUUGUUUGUAUUUUUGCCAAUUUUGAAAGGAUUUUUUUUUUUUUUUUUUUUUGCACCAGCAGUGUUCAGCUAUUGGGGACUAAGUAUUAGGAAACCUUUAGCCAGUUUAUCUCCUCUCAGCAACCAACAUGAUGGGACUGGAGCCAACACUCAUAGUUUUGAAAACCUCCCUUGAAGGUGGGAGACUUACUUUCCCAAGAUGAGGAGUGUCUGAGGAGGCUCAACCCGGCCUGUUUCCCUGAAGAAGUCCCAUAAACCGUCUAUUACAGAUGUGAAGGAGAAUAUCAAGCCUGUUGACAUGAUAAUCCAGCUUAUUGCUGCUCUUCUUGUUCCCAAAAUAGUGAAUGCACCGCUGCUUUCCAUGGGGCAUAAACUGGACAUCUCUUUCUCACCCUGCCUUUGAGGCACUGACUCUUCAAGGCCCCAACACUGCACGAUGUUAUUUUGCAAGGAAGGGGAGAACACUGCUCUUUCUCAUAACAUGCAGUCUGUCCUCAGAAAGAUCCAGUAACGGUGGGACUUAUGCUCCCCAUUGUGAAAAAGAAUUUUAAACUUGCAGAGGGGAGCUAAGUCAGAAGACAAAUGCAAAUGGCAAACACUCGGGGUAACUUGGAUACAAGCCUCUGACUUAACCUCAGCCGCUGGCUUGGAGCAGAGAAAGAGGGCAUGGAGAAGAUGAGUAAGAUUCUAAGAAUUUCCAAAUGAGUCAUUAGACCAGGACUGAAACAGUUUGAGAACACUGCGCUGGGAUUCCUCAGGCUAUUUUACCCAGGACUCAUUUCCUUACUGCAGUUCUGAAGACAAUGACCCUGGCCCCAGGGGUCGGUCCAGUAGGAGGGCUGCAAGGGAUCUUUUCUGCUGCAUUUACAACAUCCACGUAUUCUGCAGUCAGAGUUCCCAAGAACAAGCCGGAGCACACUGAGCGCUCCCUAGGGAGGAGGCCUGGGGAGAGCUUAAGAGAGGAAUGUACUCCAAGCUUUAUGUGCUUGUAAUUUGUUUAUAGUGCUGUAAAGAGUUGUUUUUCGAUGGGACUGUCUUCUGAGUCCUGUACAAUAAAGGACAUACGUAUAAAACUCUAAAAUGUAAAUUAAAAGCUGAACCACCAUAAAAUAAAG